UUGUCACAUGUUUUGGGGUUGUUAGAGUGACGAACUCUGAAAUCAAAUUUCCGACUGCCCUUGAACACAGCGUAGCUCCAUCACGACUCUGUCGCCGCUCAACUUACUUUUUGUUCCUCCAGGAAGUUGAAUCCCUCGCUAACCAUCGCCAGAGAAACAAGGAGAGGACUAAUUUAUUAGCUACAUUUAAAACAACUAAAAGAAACGGCCAUGAAAUUGUCUAUAAUCCGUAGUGCUUGUGGCAGCCUUCGGAUACAUCCAGCCCGUUCAGGGAGCAGGGUUAGCGGCUUGUCGCCGAGAUGCCUACCAGGUCCUGCCAACGGCGGGUUGAUUCUCCGUACGGCAAGCACUGCUACCCGCGGCGGUACCAAACCGAAAUUAGCCGUCAACUUUGGGAAACAGUCCCAAAAGGAUGAUGGGUUUGAAUUCGACAGUGCUUUGAGGAAAAUGGUUCAGAGCACUAAGGAGGCAAUUGUGGCUCUGCAGGGAAGAAAUCCAGCAAUCCAACCUUUGUUAGCCAUUAUACAGGCAGGUGAUGAUGACAGCUUGUUGGAGAUCAAUAAAAAAGUGGCAGGAAAGAUUGGCGUAAACAUCACUCACAUUUGUCUGGCAAAGGAAUACAGUGAAGAUGAAAUUGUAGAGGAGGUGUUGAAGCUGAAUGAAGACCCCAGGGUGCACGGAGUCUACCUCCACCUCCCCCCUGCUUCCCUCACCAGUCGAGUGCUGAACACACUCAAACCUGAGAAGGAUGUAGACGGGAUAUCAGAUUUGAAUAUGGGUCGUCUGGUACGAGGCGAUCUGAGCAAAGGCUUUGUGCCACCCAUAGCCAGCGCUGUCCUGGAUCUCCUGGAGAAACUUGAUGCUCCUUUGGAAGGGAAAACUGUGUUGCUGGUUGGAGGAGAAGGACCCCUUGGUGUGGCCCUGCAGUGCCUGAUUGAAAGAAGUGGAAUGGUAGCUCUCAAGAGUCAUUGGAGCUCCAAGACCCUACAGAGACAGGUGAUGCAAGCUGAUGCUGUGGUCCUGUUAGGGGCAGGGAAUAUGGAUGUCCCACCCACCUGGGUUAAACCAGGGGCUACUGUCAUCCGCUGUGAGCCCCCCCUGGAGACAGAUGAACAUGCAAUUGAGAUGUCCUCAAAGUCUGGGUUAGGAUACCUCACAGCAGCUUACAGAACACAGAAUGUGGUGCAUAGUUGCAGUCGGUGGCUCCAGGAGCAACAGUACCGACCUUGGCAUCUGCGCAGCCUCAAACUGCAGCCCCUGACCCCUGUACCAAGUGACAUAGAGAUUUCCAGAGCUCAGACACCCAAGCCAGUGGACCAGCUGGCUGAGGAGAUUGGUCUGCUGCCAGAAGAGCUUGAAGUCUAUGGCAGGAGCAAAGCUAAGGUCCGACUCUCCCUGUUAGACCGCCUCCACACACAGCCUGAUGGGAAAUAUGUACUGGUUGCUGGUAUAACUCCGACCCCACUGGGUGAAGGUAAAAGCACGGUGACCAUUGGCCUAGUCCAGGCCCUGUCUGCCCACCUUAAGCUCAACUCCUUUGCCUGUCUCCGACAGCCUUCCCAGGGACCCACCUUUGGGGUUAAAGGGGGAGCUGCUGGAGGGGGAUAUGCCCAGGUCAUUCCGAUGGAGGAGUUCAACCUCCAUCUGACUGGUGACAUUCAUGCCAUCACAGCAGCCAAUAACCUUGUGGCAGCAGCCAUCGAUGCCAGGAUGCUGCAUGAAGCGACGCAAUCAGACAAGGCCCUGUUCAAUAGACUGGUCCCUUCAGUGAAUGCAGUCAGAAGAUUUUCACCCAUCCAAAUCUCCAGGCUACGCCGUCUAGGAAUCAAUAAAAUAGACCCUGCAUCUCUCACACCCCAGGAAGUCAGUGCCUUUGCCCGUCUUGAUCUUGACCCUUCCAAGAUCACCUGGCAGAGAGUUGUUGACACAAAUGACCGUUUCUUGAGGAAGAUCACAGUUGGACAGGCAAGCACUGAAAAAGGACACAUCAGAGAGACUGGGUUCGACAUUGCAGUGGCCAGCGAGAUCAUGGCCAUCUUGGCUCUGGCAGACAGCCUGGAGGACAUGAAAAACAGACUGGCGCGCAUGGUGGUGGGGACCAGCCGCUCUGGACAGCCUGUCACCGCAGAGGACCUGGGUGUGAGUGGAGCACUGGCGGUGUUAAUGAAAGAUGCCAUCAAGCCCACUUUGAUGCAGACCCUCGAGGGUACACCAGUGUUUGUCCAUGCUGGGCCCUUUGCCAACAUCGCCCAUGGCAACUCCUCAGUGCUGGCGGACAAGCUGGCUUUGAAGUUGGUUGGACAGGACGGCUUUGUGGUGACAGAAGCUGGUUUUGGAGCAGACAUCGGGAUGGAGAAGUUCUUCAACAUCAAAUGUCGGGCUUCAGGGCUGAGGCCAAAUGUGGUGGUGCUGGUUGCAACUGUGCGAGCGUUAAAGAUGCAUGGCGGAGGCCCAAAUGUGUCAGCAGGCGCACCUCUUCCUAGAGAGUACAUUGAUGAGAAUCUGAGCCUAGUUGCAGGUGGUUGCCAUAGCAAUCUCAGGAAGCAGAUCCAAAUAGCACACCUGUUUGGGGUACCAGUCGUGGUGGCGCUCAACGUCUUCAAGACUGACACCCAGGCAGAGAUCAACCUUGUGUGUCAGCUAGCAAAAGAGUGCGGAGCAUCUGACGCUGUGCCAUGUCAUCACUGGGCACAGGGCGGGCGAGGUUCCCUAGAGGUGGCCCAAGCUGUGAAUGAGGCUGCCAGCAGACCCAGCAACUUCCAGUUCCUGUACAACAUAGAGAUGCCGAUAGUAGAGAAGAUCAGAACAAUCGCUCAAAAAGUGUAUGGGGCUGAUGACAUUGAACUGUCUCCAGAAGCCAAGGCCAAGAUAGAUUACUACAAUCAACAGAGCUAUGGGUCAUUGCCCAUCUGCAUGGCCAAGACUCACCUGUCCCUGUCCCACAUGCCUGACAAGAAGGGUGCACCCACUGGAUUCGUUUUGCCAAUCAGAGAUGUUCGUGCUAGUAUUGGGGCUGGCUUCAUCUACCCACUUGUUGGGACGGUCCUCUAAAGUCUGCUGAUAUGCGCUCCAGAUCAACGUCAACAUGAACAGAACCUGACGGUGCUCCAUGAUGAAAUUUGGAGGGAUGAGCACCAUGCCUGGUCUGCCAACCCGACCCUGUUUCUAUGACAUCGACCUAGACCCGGUCACAGAGGAGAUCACUGGGCUCUUCUAAGCAUGCUCCAAUUAAAGAUGUCAUAUAGGCUCCCUGCUCUGUUCUCAGGACCCUCAGCCCCAUGCGUGCACCAUCAAGCUCAUCCAUCCCCUCUACCUUUGACAGGAAAUGCUUUCUUACUCUUCCCACCAACCCUAACUCUCCCCACAUCACGGUAACAUGUCCUGGAAAAAAAUAACUGAUUACUGAAGCAUUAGCUUUAUGCAGUAUUUGCACAUCUGUGUGAUAUGCCAAAGAUGACCUCCUACAGCCAUAUUGUGUAUACAGUAUAUGCUGUAUGUGUAUUCUUUUGGCCUCUCUGUAUGAUGUUUUCUGUGUAUGAAACAGUCAGUUUAAGUCUUCAAACCAUCUUGAAUUUGACUUUAAUGUUGUGUUUUCAUAGACUUCGAAUUUCAUUGUUUCAUUUCUGCAUUUUUAUACAUGUCUUAAGCUUUUUAAUUGAAAUGGGCACGGCUUGUGUAUUUAUUAACUAAUGCUGUUGUACGCACAAAUUGCCAUUAUGGUGUUUAUGUGACAGCUAGUGUCCUAACCUAAAUCACGAAAGUCUAAACCGAACUUUAUGCAAAGAGUGUGGAACUAACACAAAUUUAGUAUUGACAACAAUUGUAUGUUAAACAUUUCAAUCAAAAGUUGUGCCUUCAAAUAAACCUCUUAUUUACUCCAAAA